GUGCCAGCAGCCGCGGUAAUACGUAGGUGGCAAGCGUUGUCCGGAUUUACUGGGCGUAAAGGAUGUGUAGGCGGAUAUUUAAGUGAGAUGUGAAAUCCCCGGGCUUAACUUGGGGGCUGCAUUUCAAACUGGAUGUCUAGAGUGCAGUAGAGGAAAGCAGAAUUCCUAGUGUAGCGGGUAAAUGCGUGGAGAUUAGGAAGAAUACCAGUGGCGAAGGCAGGUUUCUGGACUGUAACUGACGCUGAGGCAUGAAAGCGUGGGGGGCAAACAGGAUUAGAUACCCUGGUAGGCCACGCCGUAAACGAUGAAUACUAGGUGUAGGAGGUACCGAC
rnacentral:rRNA from 1 species